AGAAUCAACGCUGGCGGCGUGCCUAACACAUGCAAGUCGAACGAGAAAGUGGAGCAAUCCAUGAGUACAGUGGCGCACGGGUGAGUAACACGUGACUAACCUACCCUUGAGUUCGGAAUAACUUCGGGAAACCGAGGCUAAUACCGGAUAAUAUCUACGGAUCAAAGGAGCAAUUCGCUUAAGGAGGGGGUCGCGGCAGAUUAGUUAGUUGGCGGGGUAAUGGCCCACCAAGACGAUGAUCUGUAUCCGGCCUGAGAGGGCGCACGGACACACUGGAACUGAAACACGGUCCAGACUCCUACGGGAGGCAGCAGUGGGGAAUUUUGCGCAAUGGGGGAAACCCUGACGCAGCAACGCCGCGUGGAGGAUGAAAUCCCUUGGGAUGUAAACUCCUUUCGAUCGGGACGAUUAUGACGGUACCGGAAGAAGAGCCCGGCUAACUUCGCGCCAGCAGCCGC
rnacentral:rRNA from 1 species